GACGAACGCUGGCGGCGUGCUUAACACAUGCAAGUCGAACGAUGAAGCCUGCAACUUGUUGUGGGUGGAUUAGUGGCGAACGGGUGAGUAAUACGUGGGUAACCUGCCCUCCUUUUUGGGAUAAGCCUUGGAAACGGGGUCUAAUACCGAAUAUUCUGGCGCUCUCGCAUGGGGGUGUUGGGAAAGCUUUAGUGUGAAGGGGGAUGGGCUCGCGGCCUAUCAGCUUGUUGGUGGGGUGAUGGCCUACCAAGGCGGUGACGGGUAGCCGGCCUGAGAGGGUGACCGGCCACAUUGGGACUGAGAUACGGCCCAGACUCCUACGGGAGGCAGCAGUGGGGAAUAUUGCACAAUGGGCGCAAGCCUGAUGCAGCGACGCCGCGUGAGGGAUGAAGGCCUUCGGGUUGUAAACCUCUUUCGUCAGGGAACAAGGCACUACGUUUUGGUGGUGUUGAGGGUACCUGGAUAAGAAGCGCCGGCUAACUACGUGCCAGCAGCCGCGGUAAUACGUAGGGCGCAAGCGUUGUCCGGAAUUAUUGGGCGUAAAGAGCUCGUAGGCGGCUGGUCGCGUCUGUCGUGAAAACUUCUGGCUCAACCGGGGGCUUGCGGUGGGGUACGGGCCGGCUAGAGUGCGGUAGGGGUAACUGGAACUCCUGGUGUAGCAGUGUAAUGCCGGAUAACACGAAGAAACCAUGGCAAGUGAGGUUUAGGGGGCGUUACUGACGCUCAGACGGAAGCGUGGGAGGAAAUGAUUAAUACUCGGGGUAUGAAGGGCGAAAUCACAGAGAAUGUGAUGGGAGUGGGUCUGUCUCGCGGGGGGGAGGAGGGAGGCAAGUUUUUUUCCUCUUUUCUUCUUUAAUGAAG
rnacentral:rRNA from 1 species